AUAACAUUCGAACCGUCGGUCUGCCGAGCAAUUUCACCUGCUCGGUUGAAGUUUUAGCAUUGUUAU
rnacentral:pre_miRNA from 1 species